rnacentral:rRNA from 1 species
UACGAAGGUGGCAAGCGUUACUCGGAAUUACUAGGCGUAAAGGGCAGGUAGGUGGUUUCGUAAGUCUGUUGUGAAAGCUCCCGGCUUAACUGGGAGAGGUCAACAGAUACUGCGAGGCUUGAGUAUGGGAGAGGGUACUGGAAUUCCCGGUGUAGCGGUGAAAUGCGCAGAGAUCGGGAGGAACACCAAUGGCGAAAGCAGGUACCUGGACCAUUACUGACACUCAGCUGCGAAAGCUAGGGGAGCAAACAGG